GUCCAGACUCCUACGGGAGGCAGCAGUGAGGAAUAUUGGUCAAUGGGCGGGAGCCUGAACCAGCCAAGCCGCGUGAGGGAAGAAGGUACAGCGUAUCGUAAACCUCUUUUGUCAGGGAACAAAGGCGGGGACUAGUCCCCGGAUGAGGGUACCUGAAGAAAAAGCAUCGGCUAACUCCGUGCCAGCAGCCGCGGUAAUACGGAGGAUGCGAGCGUUAUCCGGAUUUAUUGGGUUUAAAGGGUGCGUAGGCGGGAUGUUAAGUCAGCGGUAAAAAUUCGGGGCUCAACCCCGUCGUGCCGUUGAAACUGAUGUUCUUGAGUGGGCGAGAAGUACGCGGAAUGCGUGGUGUAGCGGUGAAAUGCAUAGAUAUCACGCAGAACUCCGAUUGCGAAGGCAGCGUACCGGCGCCCAACUGACGCUCAUGCACGAAAGCGUGGGUAUCGAACAGGAUUAGAUCCCCGAGUU
rnacentral:rRNA from 1 species